rnacentral:misc_RNA from 1 species
CUCCUCAAAUGACAUCGUUUUGGAGGGUUUUUGGAGGACCGCGAGAGAAAUGUUGAGGGAUCUUGGACUUGGAUUUGUAAGGGAUGAUUUUUCUGAGAUUUAUGAGGUGCAGGGUUUGUAUCAGAGAGAUUGAGAAAGUUGCAGAGACGUGGCUUCGAAGGGUUGUUGAUUGUUCAACUGCAGUGACAGAAAGAGAGAGAGAGAGAGAGAGAG